rnacentral:misc_RNA from 1 species
AAGUCGUAACAAGGUUUCCGUAGGUGAACCUGCGGAAGGAUCAUUAUUGAGAUACGAGUUUGUCCUCGGACAACUCUAAUCUACAGUGUUGUGUGAACUUGCCUGAUUACUUGGUUGGAAGUGGACUGGUUAUUGAUUGGAUUCGGGGAUGUUGUUUCGCGCAAUGUCCUAGAGCCGUUUGGUUGCCAGCCUCAUGACCACCAAGUGAAUUGUAUACUACUAAUUUUCUUUACCAUUUGACCUAUUGUUACUUGAGUGUUUUCACUCAGAGUGUCAUAAAAACUCUCAGCAAUGGAUCUCUUGGCUCCCA